rnacentral:rRNA from 1 species
UCCGUAGGCGGUGUGGCAAGUCGGGAGUGAAAUCUCUGGGCUUAACUCAGAGGCUGCUUCCGAAACUGCCGUGCUAGAGUGUGAGAGAGGCGAGUGGAAUUGCGGGUGUAGCGGUGAAAUGCGUAGAUAUCCGCAGGAACAUCCGAGGCGAAAGCGGCUCGCUGGAUCACAACUGACGCUGAGGGACGAAAGCGUAGGGAGCAAACA